CCUACGGGAGGCAGCAGUAAGGAAUAUUGGACAAUGGGCGCAAGCCUGAUCCAGCCAUGCCGCGUGAAGGAUUAAGGUCCUCUGGAUUGUAAACUUCUUUUAUAGGGGACGAAAAAAGGGCAUUCUUGUUCACUUGACGGUACCCUAUGAAUAAGCACCGGCUAACUCCGUGCCAGCAGCCGCGGUAAUACGGAGGGUGCAAGCGUUAUCCGGAUUCACUGGGUUUAAAGGGUGCGUAGGCGGGCAGGUAAGUCAGUGGUGAAAUCCUAGAGCUUAACUCUAGAACUGCCAUUGAUACUAUCUGUCUUGAAUAUUGUGGAGGUAAGCGGAAUAUGUCAUGUAGCGGUGAAAUGCUUAGAUAUGACAUAGAACACCUAUUGCGAAGGCAGCUUACUACGCAUAUAUUGACGCUGAGGCACGAAAGCGUGGGGAUCAAACAGGAUUAGAUACCCUGGUAGUCCACGCCCUAAACGAUGGAUACUCGACAUACGCGAUACACUGUGUGUGUCUGAGCGAAAGCAUUAAGUAUCCCACCUGGGAAGUACGUCCGCAGGAUGAAACUCAAAUGAAUUGACGGCUUGGAGACGNGCCGACGGACGACACGAGGGGAGGUUAGG
rnacentral:rRNA from 1 species